CAUCCCGCUCUCUACGGUCUGCUGACGCCAACCUCCAACAGGAAAACUGGACCCUUCUCAACCACACUCACCAAACAAGGAAGUUCAAUAUCAAUGGAUCACAAAUGGAAAACUGGACUCUUCUCAACCACACUGGCCAAACAAGGAAGUUCAAAAUCAAUGGAUCACAAAUGGAAAACAGGAAAACUGGACCCUUCUCAACCACACUGACCAAACAAGGAAGUUCAAUAUCUCUUAGAGUCUGCAUGUACGGGGCCUAAGUUGGUAUUGUUCUGUCCAUCAAAAGGAUUCCCACAACUAUCACAGCCGGAAAACUGGACUCUUCUCAACCACACCCUCCAAACAAGGAAGUUCAAUAUCAAUGGAUCACAAAUGGAAAACUGGACUCUUCUCAACCACACUCGCCAAACAAGGAAGUUCAAAAUCAAUGGAUCACAAAUGGAAAACUGGACUCUUCUCAACCACACUGGCCAAACAAGGAAGUUCAAAAUCAAUGGAUCACAAAUGGAAAACAGGAAAACUGGACUCUUCUCAACCACACCCUCCAAACAAGGAAGUUCAAUAUCAAUGGAUCACAAAUGGAAAACUGGACUCAUCUCAACCACACUCGCCAAACAAGGAAGUUCAAAAUCAAUGGAUCACAAAUGGAAAACUGGACUCUUCUCAACCACACUGGCCAAACAAGGAAGUUCAAAAUCAAUGGAUCACAAAUGGAAAACAGGAAAACUGGACCCUUCUCAACCACACUCGCCAAACAAGGAAGUUCAAUAUCUCUUAGAGUCUGCAUGUACGGGGCCUAAGUUGGUAUUGUUCUGUCCAUCAAAAGGAUUCCCACAACUAUCACAGCCGGAAAACUGGACUCUUCUCAACCACACCCUCCAAACAAGGAAGUUCAAUAUCAGUGGAUCACAAAUGGAAAACUGGACUCUUCUCAACCACACUCACCAAACAAGGAAGGUCAAUAUCAAUGGAUCACAAAUGGAAAACUGGACUCUUCUCAACCACACUCGCCAAACAAGGAAGUUCAAAAUCAAUGGAUCACAAAUGGAAAACAGGAAAACUGGACCCUUCUCAACCACACUCGCCAAACAAGGAAGUUCAAUAUCUCUUAGAGUCCGCAUGUACGGGGCCUAAGGUGGUAUUGUUCUGUCCAUCAAAAGGAUUUCCACAACCCAUCAACAAUCCCCAUCACCAACAACUACAAUGAAGGUACGUAGGCUACAUUUCCAGUGAUGCAGAUAGGAUAGGGACAGCAGCUCCUAAAUUGAGGUAAAUAAUAUGUUAAAAGUAUAGAGUCGCACGACAAAUCAUUGCUGUUGUUAAUUUGAUCAACUGUACACAUACUGUAUAUUGUUUUGGUCAUAAUUCCUUUUCCCCCCAUAGACUUCAUGUUGCUGUUACAUCGUGAUUUUAUGCUGUAGGGGAACAUCAAAGAGACACCAACAGCAGAAGGAGAAACACAACAUAUCACAAAGCAAAUUUAAGUACACUUUUUCUUUGAAAUAAGAUUUGUUUCCAGUAGUUUUGUAAUUUACUAAAGAUAUAUUGUUCAUCUGUACUCAGAAAACACUGAAUUAAUGCUAUUGUGUUUUUCUUUCCCUUUCCCUUUCCCUUUCCAAAAAAAACAACAAAAAAAACAAAAAAAAAAAACCUCUUUUCUCUUCUUCUUUUCAUUCAACAUAUUGCACUCCUGUAGCGAUGACAGUUAGCUCUUAAAGUUAUGUACUUACUUGAUUCCUGUGUUCUAUGUCUAGUACCAUCAGGUUGAAUGCACUUGUCGCUUCAUCUAAUUAAUGAUUUUUUCUCCUUUUUUCUUUUCCUAUUUGUUUUUUUUGUUUUGUGAUUUUGCCAUAAAUGUGACACCUGAUGAACACCAUGCAAAGAAGGUUACAUCAUGAUUUUGUGCUGAAGGGGAACAUCAAAGAGACACCAACAGCAUAAGGAGAAACACAACAUAAACAACAAAAUAAAUUUAAGUACUCUUUUCCUUUGAAAUAAAAUUAGUAUCCAGUAGUUUUGUAAUUCACUAAAGAUAUAUUGUUCAUCUGUACUCAGAAAACACUGAAUUAAUGCUAUUGUGUUUUUCUUUCCCUUUCCCUUUCCCUUUCCAAAAAAAACAACAAAAAAAACAAAAAAAAAACCCUCUUUUCUCUUCUUCUUUUCAUUCAACAUAUUGCACUCCUGUAGCGAUGACAGUUAGCUCUUAAAGUUAUGUACUUACUUGAUUCCUGUGUUCUAUGUCUAGUACCAUCAGGUUGAAUGCACUUGUCGCUUCAUCUAAUUAAUGAUUUUUUUCUCCUUUUUUCUUUUCCUAUUUGUUUUUUUUGUUUUGUGAUUUUGCCAUAAAUGUGACACCUGAUGAACACCAUGCAAAGAAGGUUACAUCAUGAUUUUGUGCUGAAGGGGAACAUCAAAGAGACACCAACAGCAUAAGGAGAAACACAACAUAAACAACAAAAUAAAUUUAAGUACUCUUUUCCUUUGAAAUAAAAUUAGUAUCCAGUAGUUUUGUAAUUUACUAAAGAUAUAUUGUUCAUCUGUACUCAGAAAACACUGAAUUAAUGCUAUUGUGUUUUUCUCUCCCUUUCCCUUUCCCUUUCCCUUUCCAAAAAAAACAACAAAAAAAACAAAAAAAAACCCCUCUUUUCUCUUCUUCUUUUCAUUCAACAUAUUGCACUCCUGUAGCGAUGACAGUUAGCUCUUGAAGUUAUGUACUUACUUGAUUCCUGUGUUCUAUGUCUAGUACCAUCGGGUUGAAUGCACUUGUCGCUUCAUCUAAUUAAUGAUUUUUUCUCCUUUUUUCUUUUCCUAUUUGUUUUUUUUGUUUUGUGAUUUUGCCAUAAAUGUGACACCUGAUGAACACCAUGCAAAGAAGGUUACAUCAUGAUUUUGUGCUGAAGGGGAACAUCAAAGAGACACCAACAGCAUAAGGAGAAACACAACAUAAACAACAAAAUAAAUUUAAGUACUCUUUUCCUUUGAAAUAAAAUUAGUAUCCAGUAGUUUUGUAAUUUACUAAAGAUAUAUUGUUUAUCUGUACUAAGAAAACAAUGUGUUAAUAUUGUUUCUUUAUUUUUUCCUGGCCUGAAGGGUAACUACAAGACGGAAUCAACAACAUUAAGCUAAGUGCUUUUCUUACUGCUCAUGACAUUCUUAUAUAUUUCAUGAUUUCUUACAAAUAUUUUUUAUCUGUAAACCGAAACCUUACAUUUUUGAUGUUUAGUUUGCUCUAUGAUUGUUUUAUCAUCUAAUUAAUGAUUUUCUCUCUUAAUGAUGUUCUCUCUUCUCUUUGUGUUGUUUUGUGAUUGUGCAUGAAUCUGACACCUGAUGAACACCAUGCAAAGAAGGAUGGCAGCAACCCCAAAGGCAAAAGUAGGAUCAUCAGUGAGGACAACAGCAAAGAUGGCAGCCGUUCAACCUGUGAAGAAUCAGCAUUCCAACACGAGGCUUGAGAAUUGGUCGCGGCAGAUGGCCAUUCACCAUGAUCCGGGUUCUGCUCAAGGUUUCUGCCACGGGCAGUUUUUCCUUGCCACCGUCGCCAAGUGCUUGGUCAUGCUGGAAAUUGUAGUGGAGAUUGUUCAAACUAUCAUCACAGAACUAUACAAUUACAACUACGAUUAAACACUUUGUUACAAUCUUCUAAA